rnacentral:rRNA from 1 species
UACGGAGGGUGCAAGCGUUGUCCGGAUUUAUUGGGUUUAAAGCGUGCGCAGGCGGUUUUGUAAGACAGAGGUGAAAUCCCCGGGCUUAACCUGGGAACUGCAUUUGUGACUGCAUGGCUGGAGUGCGGCAGAGGGGGAUGGAAUUCCGCGUGUAGCAGUGAAAUGCGUAGAUAUGCGGAGGAACACCGAUGGCGAAGGCAAUCCCCUGGGCCUGCACUGACGCUCAUGCACGAAAGCGUGGGGAGCAAACAGG